GGUUGAAGCUCUGGUAACACAGAGUGGAGGACCGAACCGGUUGACGUUGAAAAGUCUUCGGAUGACCUGUGGGUAGGGGUGAAAGGCCAAUCAAACUGGGAGAUAGCUCGUACUCUCCGAAAUGCAUUUAGGUGCAGCGUCGUAUAUAAGUUUAUUAGAGGUAGAGCUACUGAUUGGAUGCGGGGGUUUCAUCGCCUACCAAUUCCUGACAAACUCCGAAUGCUAAUAAAUGUUCUACGGCAGUGAGGGCAUGGGUGCUAAGGUCCAUGUCCGAGAGGGAAAGAACCCAGACCAACAGCUAAGGUCCCAAAAUAUAUGUUAAGUUGAAACAACGCGGUUGGACUGCAUUGACAGCUAGGAUGUUGGCUUGGAAGCAGCCAUUCAUUUAAAGAGUGCGUAACAGCUCACUAGUCGAGCGGUCCGGCAUGGAUAAUAAUCGGGCAUAAACAUAUUACCGAAGCUAUGGAUUUGUAUUUUAGAUACAUCUGGUAGGAGAGCAUUCUAUUUGCGCCGAAGCAGUACUGUGAGGUAUUGUGGAGCGGAUAGAAAAGAAAAUGUAGGCAUAAGUAACGAUAAAGCAGGCGAGAAACCUGCUCACCGAAAGACCAAGGCUUCCUCAGCCAUGCUAAUCAGCUGAGGGUUAGUCGGGACCUAACGCGAACCCGAAAGGGGUAGUGGAUGGACAAUGGGUUAAUAUUCCCAUACUUGCUCACGAAUAAAGGGGACGGUUGGAUGUAGCUGC
rnacentral:rRNA from 1 species